UACAGAGGGGGCAAGCGUUGUUCGGAAUUACUGGGCGUAAAGGGCGCGUAGGCGCCUUCUAAGUCGAACGUGAAAUCCCCGGGCUCAACCCGGGAACUGCGUCCGAUACUGGAAGGCUUGAAUCCGGGAGAGGGAUGUGGAAUUCCAGGUGUAGCGGUGAAAUGCGUAGAUAUCUGGAGGAACACCGGUGGCGAAGGCGACAUCCUGGACCGGUAUUGACGCUGACGGCGCGAAAGCCAGGGGAGCAAAGCGGGGAUUA
rnacentral:rRNA from 1 species